AACCGUGCGAAGGUAGCGCAAUCACUUGUCUUUUAAAUGAAGACCUGUAUGAAUGGCACGACGAGGGCUUAACUGUCUCCUCCCUCAAGUCAAUGAAAUUGAUCUCCCCGUGCAGAAGCGGGGAUGAGCCCAUAAGACGAGAAGACCCUAUGGAGCUUUAGACAUACGGUAUAUCCCGUUAAACACCCCUGGACAAAGGACUUAACUAAAGGAACCAUACCCCCCUGUCUUUGGUUGGGGCGACCACGGGGAAACAAAGAACCCCCAUGUGGAAGGGGAGCACUGCUCCUACAACCAAGAGCCGCAACUCUAGUGAACAGAACUUCUGACCAAAUAUGAUCCGGCAGUGCCGAUCAACGGACCGAGUUACCCUAGGGAUAACAGCGCAAUCCUCUUUUAGAGCCCAUAUCGACAAGAGGGUUUACGACCUC
rnacentral:rRNA from 1 species